GCCACAUCACGUUGAAACACCAGUUCCGUACGAUCACCGAAGUUAAGCAAUGUCGAUCCUGGUUAAUACCUAGAUGGGUAACCGCUUAGAAAUACUAGGUGCUGUAAG